CACGUAGGGGGCGAGCGUUGUCCGGAUUUAUUGGGCGUAAAGAGCUCGUAGGCGGCUCAGUAAGUCAGGUGUGAAAACUCCAGGCUCAACCUGGAGACGCCACCUGAUACUGCUGUGGCUAGAGUCCGGUAGGGGAGCAUGGAAUUCCUGGUGUAGCGGUGAAAUGCGCAGAUAUCAGGAGGAACACCAGUGGCGAAGGCGGUGCUCUGGGCCGGAACUGACGCUGAGGAGCGAAAGCAUGGGGAGCGAACAGG
rnacentral:rRNA from 1 species